UAGGCCAGGGCAGCCUGGCCACUGCAUCACGACUUCCUCAGCUAAAUAAAACACCCAUAUUAGGUGCACAGCCAGCACAGGAAGAGCCAUUUUUGGAGAUAAUAAGGCCCUUUCCAUCUAAGCUUUUCCUUGGAUGGUGUUACAGACUUUCCACACCAAUUCAAAAAAAUGCUUCCCCAAAUGACAUCAUAAAGAACUCAAAAUGAGCUCCAUGUAUCAUUUGCAUUCAGGAAAAUCUUUAGUGAAAAUUGCCUACAGCUUUCUCUCUCUCUUUGAGCAGCAUACUGACAUGAUCCAAAAGGAGUGUCUUAAUUAUGACAGGUCCUCAGAAGCCUUGCCAAAAAUAUCCUAAGUCCAAAGUUAUUUUUAAAAGGUGCGAAAGUCAAGAAAAAUCCAAGUGAAUCCAAAGAAAGGCAUUGGGAUGCAGGAUCAUUCAUAUGUUUCAUCCCUACGAUGAAAGCCAGGACUGUUUCCUUCUAAGGAUACUGAAAAAUGAGAUUUCUUCCUCUUGCUGCCUUUGAAUAAACCUCUGCUGAGGUUAAUGCCACUUCAGGGGCUGUUUUGGCUUAACCAAGUAGAAUUCUCUUGUUAGAGAGAAUGCCUCUAUCAAUAUCUUCCAGACUGGAAAUCACCUUUGAGGGACUUCAGCAGUGCUCCAUGGGCAGAGUAUUCACUGAAAACAAUGCUGCAGAACCAGCUGAACCAAAGACAGCAUGCCCAUGACAGCAACCUGCCUCACUGGGAGGAGACAGAUCUGAAGGAAACUGUGUGAAAGAAACAGAUCCAGGGAAAGGAGAAAGUAGGCAGCACAGAACAACGAUUUAGAGUGAGACUUCGGCAGUUGUGAGCCCUUUCUUGGAACCAAUUCCUCUCUGUCACCUGAUGGAGGUACCCACUGUACCUGUCCCUACUGUUUACCUGUUCUCCAUGCAGUUUUCUCUCCAUGUGUUCUGGGGAAGAUUGUUGCUUGUAUCCUGAAGUGCUGCCACAUUCCCUGGCACGUGGAC